ACUUCUUUCCGUUCCUCUGCAGAUCGCCGGACUCCUCAGCUGAUCACAAGAGUUCUAUUUUUUCUGGACGCCGGAGCAUGGCGGAUAAAUUCAGCACAGAUUAACCCGUGCUGGAAAGGAAGUCGGGCACAGACACAAAAUAAAACAUCCGGCUUCUUUUCAAAAUAAAACACUCCGUGUUUCAGGAGGAUCGUAUUUCACACCAUGCAAACGGGCGGAGACGAACAAGUGAAAGGUUUUUAGACGUCAUUUCACCCCGAUGACACCAUGGAUGAGGAGAUGCUGAUUCUAGAAGUCUAGAAGUAGAUUUCCUCCUCUGGAAGGACACAAUCUACUGCUUAUAUGUCUAUGUGUCUGUCUUUAUAGAGACAACUCGUUAUCGCGUGAUUGCACCUGAAUCCGCCACAAAAUUCGCCUCACCAACGGAUUCGGUAGACGGCCGAUGGCGAAAAUUGCCGAUGUGGAAACCCUGGGUUACCAUUUCAGUGUAAAAGUGUAAAACAUGUUAAGGUCAUGUGAUCGUUUAAAGUACUAAUUAUUGUCGAAAUAUCUGGAAUAAUCUCUUUUUAAGAGGACAAGACUAGAGUGACCAUACGUCCUCUUUUACCCGGACAUGUCCUCGUUUUUUGGGGAUGUCCUUUCUUGUCCGAUGGAGUUUAUAAAAUCCUUCAAAUGUCCGAGGUUUUGUUUGGAAGUUCUGAGUUUUUGUGGCGUGGACUCUCUGAGUUAGAAGUGUGUAAAAAACACUCGACACUGUGCCUCUGUCGUGUCCUCUUUUUGGAGGUUCAGAACAUGAUCACCCUCGACAAGACCAAAGCUAGUGGACGGCUGUGAUUUAAGGUGUUUCUGCAUUAAAAACAGUCAUGACUCUGUAGUAGAAGUCACUGCAUCGGCUCAUAACUGCUCCU